UCCUUCGGAAAUAUACUUUAGCCAGUGUACGAUUGCAAGCAGCUUCAAUGAACAUUCUGCACACACAGAAAAAUCUAUUGGCGAAACUGUAGACGACAUAUUACUUGGACGAUGUAGGAUAGAGGACAUUCCGAAAAUUAGCGUGGUUAAGAAAAGAGAUGUUUGGGUAUCGGCAGACAAUAGACGAUUAUGGAUUUUCAGAACGUUGCAAUCAUUGGGAAAAUGUGACACGAUUAAAGUGAAAGUGAAAAAACAUAUUAGCCCCCAUAAGAACGUGGUCAAGAAAAAUAUAAAGUUAAGGGGAGAAGCUGGAGGUUUUCUGUAUAAAAGUAUGCUAAAUUUACAAAGUCAGCAUGAAAGUUUAACAGAAAUUCUUCAAAAGCUUUCACGUUUGAUUUUGGAUGAAAAUCAAACGUAGGGAAGAGGAAAACUUUUUAAAUGUGCCACCAGGAUGUUCAAGAGAAAGGGAAUCGAAUGUUCAAGAUUACUUCAUCGAUUUUUAUACUUUUUUAUGUAAACAUUUUAUGUAUUUACUAAUGUUU